rnacentral:rRNA from 1 species
UUAAAUUGAAGAGUUUGAUCAUGGCUCAGAUUGAACGCUGGCGGCAGGCCUAACACAUGCAAGUCGAACGGUAACAGGAAACAGCUUGCUGUUUCGCUGACGAGUGGCGGACGGGUGAGUAAUGUCUGGGAAACUGCCUGAUGGAGGGGGAUAACUACUGGAAACGGUAGCUAAUACCGCAUAACGUCGCAAGACCAAAGAGGGGGACCCUCGGGCCUCUUG